rnacentral:rRNA from 1 species
GAAAGGCCAAUCAAACUCGGAAAUAGCUGGUUCUCCGCGAAAUCUAUUUAGGUAGAGCGUCGACCGAAUACCCUCGGGGGUAGAGCACUGGAUGGGCUAUGGGGACUCACCGUCUUACUGAUCCUAACCAAACUCCGAAUACCGAGGAGUACUAGUCGGCAGACACACGGCGGGUGCUAACGUCCGUCGUGAAAAGGGCAACAACCCUGACCUCCAGCUAAGGUCCCCAAGUCAUGGCUAAGUGGGAAAGGAUGUGAGGAUCCCAAAACAACCAGGAUGUUGGCUUAGAAGCAGCCAUCAUUUAAAGAAAGCGUAACAGCUCACUGGUCUAAAUAAGGGUCUUUGCGCCGAAAAUGUAACGGGGCUAAAGCCAUGCACCGAAGCUGAGGAUGUGACAGUUGUAGUGACUGUUGCGUGGUAGCGGAGCGUUCCGUAAGUCUGUGAAGGCGGACCCGUGAGGGCUGCUGGAGAUAUCGGAAGUGCGAAUGUUGACAUGAGUAACGAUAAAGGGAGUGAGAGACUCCCUCGCCGAAAGACCAAGGGUUCCUGCUUAAAGUUAAUCUGAGCAGGGUUAGCCGGCCCCUAAGACGAGGCGGACACGCGUAGUCGAUGGGAACCACGUUAAUAUUCGUGGGCCUGGUGGUAGUGACGGAUCUCGUGUGUUGUACAUUCUUACUGGAUUGAAUGUGCGGCGAAGAGGUUCCAGGAAAUAGCUCCACCGUAUAGACCGUACCCGAAACCGACACAGGUGGUCAGGUAGAGUAUACCAAGGCGCUUGAGAGAACUAUGUUGAAGGAACUCGGCAAAUUGCACGCGUAACUUCGGAAGAAGCGUGACCCCAUUUUACGCAAGUAUGAUGGGGUGGCACAGACCAGGGGGUAGCGACUGUUUAUCAAAAACACAGGGCUCUGCGAAGUAGCAAUACGACGUAUAGGGUCUGACGCCUGCCCGGUGCUGGAAGGUUAAAGGGAGGGGUGCAAGCUCUGAACUGAAGCCCCAGUAAACGGCGGCCGUAACUAUAACGGUCCUAAGGUAGCGAAAUUCCUUGUCGGGUAAGUUCCGACCUGCACGAAUGGCGUAACGACUUCCCCGCUGUCUCCAACAUAGACUCAGUGAAAUUGAAUUCCCCGUGAAGAUGCGGGGUUCCUGCGGUCAGACGGAAAGACCCCGUGCACCUUUACUAUAGCUUUACACUGGCAUUCGCCAAGGCAUGUGUAGGAUAGGUGGUAGGCUUUGAAGCAGGGACGCCAGUUCUUGUGGAGCCAUCCUUGAAAUACCACCCUUAUCUUCGUGGAUGUCUAACCGCGGUCCGUUAUCCGGAUCCGGGACAGUGUAUGGUGGGUAGUUUGACUGGGGCGGUCGCCUCCGAAAGAGUAACGGAGGCGCGCGAUGGUGGGCUCAGACCGGUCGGAAAUCGGUCGUCGAGUGCAAUGGCAUAAGCCCGCCUGACUGCGAGACUGACAAGUCGAGCAGAGACGAAAGUCGGUCAUAGUGAUCCGGUGGUCCCGUGUGGAAGGGCCAUCGCUCAACGGAUAAAAGGUACGCCGGGGAUAACAGGCUGAUGACCCCCAAGAGUCCAUAUCGACGGGGUUGUUUGGCACCUCGAUGUCGACUCAUCGCAUCCUGGGGCUGGAGCAGGUCCCAAGGGUAUGGCUGUUCGCCAUUUAAAGCGGUACGUGAGUUGGGUUCAGAACGUCGUGAGACAGUUCGGUCCCUAUCUGCCGUGGGUGUAGGAAUAUUGACAGGAUCUGUCCCUAGUACGAGAGGACCGGGAUGGACGUAUCUCUGGUGGAUCUGUUGUCCUGCCAAGGGCAUAGCAGAGUAGCUAUAUACGGAAUGGAUAACCGCUGAAGGCAUCUAAGCGGGAAACCAACCUGAAAACGAGUGUUCCCUAUCAGAGCCGUGGAAGACGACCACGUUGAUAGGACGGGUGUGGAAGCAUGGCAACAUGUGAAGCUUACCGUUACUAAUAGCUCGAUCGACUUCUUC